rfam:Vibrio tubiashii ATCC 19109 chromosome 1, complete sequence.
GCACCAAACCACUCUGUUCGUUUUUGACUUCUUUUUUCUCCACUAAGCUUGGAGGCUCUCGCGUUUUCGAAAGAUAAGUCAAAAACGAACAGAAAGCCUCCCAAAGGGAGGCUUUUUUUAU